rnacentral:rRNA from 1 species
GAUGAACGCUGGCGGCGUGCCUAAUACAUGCAAGUCGAGCGAACAGACGAGGAGCUUGCUCCUCUGACGUUAGCGGCGGACGGGUGAGUAACACGUGGAUAACCUACCUAUAAGACUGGGAUAACUUCGGGAAACCGGAGCUAAUACCGGAUAAUAUAUUGAACCGCAUGGUUCAAUAGUGAAAGACGGUUUUGCUGUCACUUAUAGAUGGAUCCGCGCCGCAUUAGCUAGUUGGUAAGGUAACGGCUUACCAAGGCAACGAUGCGUAGCCGACCUGAGAGGGUGAUCGGCCACACUGGAACUGCGACACGGUCCAGACUCCUACGGGAGGCAGCAGUAGGGAAUCUUCCGCAAUGGGCGAAAGCCUGACGGAGCAACGCCGCGUGAGUGAUGAAGGUCUUCGGAUCGUAAAACUCUGUUAUUAGGGAAGAACAAAUGUGUAAGUAACUAUGCACGUCUUGACGGUACCUAAUCAGAAAGCCACGGCUAACUACGU